ACAAUGGAGAGUUUGAUCCUGGCUCAGGAUGAACGCUAGCUACAGGCUUAACACAUGCAAGUCGAGGGGAAACGGCAUUGAGUGCUUGCACUCUUUGGACGUCGACCGGCGCACGGGUGAGUAACGCGUAUCCAACCUUCCCAUUACUGUGGGAUAACCUGCCGAAAGGCAGACUAAUACCGCAUAGUCUUCGAUGACGGCAUCAGAUUUGAAGUAAAGAUUUAUCGGUAAUGGAUGGGGAUGCGUCUGAUUAGCUUGUUGGCGGGGUAACGGCCCACCAAGGCGACGAUCAGUAGGGGCUGUCUCUUAUACACAUC
rnacentral:rRNA from 1 species